CGCCCUGCCUUCGCGCGGCCUCUGCCCUCCCACUCUCUGCGCGGAGCCCGCGCCGGAGGUGGGCGUCAGCGCCUGAUUGGGCGGAGCCUGGGAACCAAUUCCUUGCGGCCUGGCGACUUCCCGAGAGGUCCGCGGAGCUCAGCGCAAGUGGACACAGUUGUUGCUUGCAGUCCUCGUCGGUGCGGCCGACCCAGCCUGGGCGGCAGGAGGCAGGGAAGGAGGGAGAGCUGCUUUGUGGGGACUGCCAUGAAGCUUCGUGGGCGAUGGGUCUGCGCGACACCCCGGGUCAGAGAGACCCAAGCACACCCCAGGUCCAGUUCCCAACUCCCGGAGACAAAGCAGCCCUUGUGAAGUAGGAGCAGGGUCCUCUUGCAAGGAGCUUUGCUUGGAAGACAACACCGCUCUGGCCUUACACCUCUCUCCAGUGCUCCUGAGCAGAGACAAGAGCCUGCAUUUGCAUGGUUGGAAGCGGCUCUUGGGGCUUCUGCCCAGGAUGAGUUAGAUUUGGUGACAGUGCCACCUCCAGCAGCACCACACGCUGUGACAGUAGAGAAAAUAGCAGGCUGAGCCUUCACAGUUCUUUACCUUGCACCAACGGCCACGGAACAUGAACACGACUCAGAGCCUCUCCCUUUUAUACUCUUCAGCUGCAUGGGAGCGAGAGUACCACCCACACAUUCCAGAGGGAAACAAUAACCACCAUUAUGGGUUACAUCUGCUACCACCUGAACUCACCCGUGGCUAUGGGCGAGAGCACAUCCUUGCCAGCGAGGUGACUCAAAGUUCAAUCAUGGCUAGGCCUGUGUCAAGGCUCACCAUAAUGGCUCGCCAUAAUUCCCCCAUCUCUCUUUGAUAGCAUGAAGAAUGCUAGCAAUAGGCCAUUCAUCAUGCAUCAGCCAAGGGACCUCUGUCUUAGGCGGCAGAAGUCUUCCAUCUCCUUACCCGUCAUCAGUUGCAGGGCUCAUGUCCCAAUACGACCUGUCUUAGGUUGGUAGACAGAAGCUUCCGUCCUUACCCGUCACUGAGUAUCCCAAGGUGGGGGAUCUAAGCACGCCAAGCCUGAGCCAAGUAAAUGGCUACGCACGUUGUAUCAUCAUCCAAAGAAGCCUGUACAGCCAUAGCUAAAUGCUCCUAUUUAAACUGGGAACGCUUCCAGCAUCGAUAUGAGCAGUAACCCAAAAUACACAAACCAAUCAUAACAGUAAUAACAAUAAGCCAUAUAACAAUCCAAAAAGGUGAAAACAUCUUUUUCAAAUUUUUCCAAACUUCUGUAGCAAAAUCUAAAUCAAGCCGGAUAUAGUGGGCAUGAACACCAGAUAAGACCUCAAUGUCCAAUGACAACUGAUUAGUUGCAGUUAGAAAUGUCCGAUUCCAAGACCCUCGCAACAAUGAAGAAAGUCAUCUAACUUCCUCAGAAUGGUUUUUGACAGGAAAGGGAGUAAGGCAGAGUUGUUGAAAUCUGGGAUCACAGUCCAAUCGAGUAUGCAACCACAAUCCUUCAACUUCUUUGUUUAAUAAGUCCAUUUGUUGCUGAAAUAUAGCCAAACCAGUUGUGGGAGACUGACUGCAAGACAGCUGGCUGCUUGCAUUGCAGUUCCCUGAGCGAAGGAGUUGCUAUGUUGUAAGUUCUGAUUGGCCGUGAUCGGCUGCCAUCUUAUGGCAUUGUUUAGCUGAGUUUCGCUUUCCAGAAAAAACACCCGCUUCUUGUAAAUCAUGUGUAUUCUGUGGAGCCAUAAUUGUGGCCUUGUACAGUUAUCCUUGAGAUUGUUUUUCAUCCUUGAAGCUGUUUUUACUUUCAUAUUAUUGCCUGAUAUAAGUGUGAGAGCCAUCUGGCAGAGAGUAGUAGUAGUAGUAGUAGAGUAGUAGUAGAAGUAAAAGAAGAAUAAAGAAGAAAUCUGUUUGAAUCUGAGCAUGACUCAGUGUGUUUACUCUCGGUGAAUCCUCUCAGGUUUGGGGCCUGCUGGCAGGACCCCGACGUCGCGGCUCGCAACACCAGUUCCAAUGAAUCCUUGUUCUGGACAAUAAAGUCUCCACUUGUGCACCAAGACACAUCCUGGAGUUUUCUCUGCUGCUCUAGUGUUGGGGUCCCAAUUCGGUCUCCAGAUUGGAAACCCAGCUUCAAGCUGUUCAGGGAUAGUGGUGGAUCUAUAAGUGUGCCUGUAACCAUAAGUAGGUGGAGCAGCAGAGAAGGGAGAAUACCUGGACCAAAAGGUUAUUCUCAUAAACAAUAUGCUGGAAAACCUGCAUGGUCAAACAAUAUGAAUACAUUUUGUAUACCAGAUAUGAAUUCUUAUGUCCUGAAAUGUAGCUUUGUAUCAAUAGGAUCU
rnacentral:lncRNA from 1 species